AAUGAAUUACAAUAGUCCAGCCUAGAGGAAAUAAAUGAAUGAAUUAGUUUUUCAGCAUCACUCUGAGACAAGACCUUUCUGAUUUUAGAGAUAUUGCGUCAGCUGUGGAUUUACACCCACUACUGCAAUAAUUACUGCAAUAGUGACAGUUAUUUCCUGCGUCAGACGUCUGCCGUCCCAUCCAGUGGGGGGGCACAGACUCUCAUUCUACAGAAUCCGGGGAUAAGCACAGGCACCACUGGCCCACAGAGAUGAUUUUACUAAAACAGCAUUUAUGUGCACUAGUGUAAUAGUUACUGCAAAACUGACAGUUAUUACAAGAGUAGGAGCAACACCAAGACAAAAACUAAAAUGUCCAACAACAUUUUUAUAAAUUGACCCACUUAUUUUGAUUUCUUCAUCAAAUUUGAGGAAAAUGUCCAAGAAAUGGUUUCUGUCAUGACUCCGGAUUAGAGCCCGGUCUGUUAGUUGCUACGAUUAAUUCUUGUGAAUCCGAGUGUGACAUGGUUAUCAUUAUUAGUGACUAAUAUCAAUACAGGAGUUAAAGUUUCUAGAACAGGUUCACAAUUAAAGAUUCCUGUUUGUAACAUUAACACUGUAACAAACAGCUCUCAGUUCAGAUCUUCACAUAAACAUUUUUCCAAUAUUGUACUGAAAUAAAAAAAAAACCCAAAGAAAACUGAAAAAUAAAUAAAAUCAUUUAUUAUGUUGUUAGCAGCACAUAUCUGAUCAUGUAACCAAAACUACACCAAACCAGCAGGUCAACUACUGCACACUAGCUCCUCCUACAGGUCACUGUGAGGACGUUCACUUCAUUGCACCACAGAUCUAUGAAGAACAAACAUGCUUGCUUAGACCAAUUUUUUUUUUUUUUAUGAGCAGAACUGUGUAUGUACUCACAUAAACGUCAGAUUUUAAAUGACUGAUUUCCCAGAGAAUUUACUGCUAUGAUGCGGACCUCCAAUCCAGAUGUUUGUAGAUUUAUUGGAACACAUAUUGGAUUUUAAUGUAUUAACAGUUGCUGCCUUUUGUGUUGUAGAGUAACAAAAACAAAAAAUAAAGACGCUGGGGUUGAUUUGGUUGGAAUCAAACCACAACCUGGCACGCCGUACAUAAGAAGCUGCACAUUUAUGCUGAAGAACAAAAACGUGUGAACUGUAGAUUAAGAGAAAAAAAAAAGUUAGUACGGCUUUGUAUCCAU